rnacentral:tRNA from 1 species
CGGGACUGACGGGGCUCGAACCCGCAGCUUCCG